GAUGAACGCUGGCGGCGUGCCUAAUACAUGCAAGUCGAGCGAACGGACGAGAAGCUUGCUUCUCUGAUGUUAGCGGCGGACGGGUGAGUAACACGUGGAUAACCUACCUAUAAGACUGGGAUAACUUCGGGAAACCGGAGCUAAUACCGGAUAAUAUUUUGAACCGCAUGGUUCAAAAGUGAAAGACGGUCUUGCUGUCACUUAUAGAUGGAUCCGCGCUGCAUUAGCUAGUUGGUAAGGUAACGGCUUACCAAGGCAACGAUGCAUAGCCGACCUGGGAGGGUGAUCGGCCACACUGGAACUGAGCCACGGUCCAGACUCCUACGGGAGGCAGCAGUAGGGAAUCUUCCGCAAUGGGCGAAAGCCUGACGGAGCAACGCCGCGUGAGUGAUGAAGGUCUUCGGAUCGUAAAACUCUGUUAUUAGGGAAGAACAUAUGUGUAAGUAACUGUGCACAUCUUGACGGUACCUAAUCAGAAAGCCACGGCUAACUACGUG
rnacentral:rRNA from 1 species